GUCUACGGCCACACCACCCUGAAGGCGCCCGAUCUCGUCAGCUCUCGGAAGCAAAGCAGGGUCGGGCCUGGUUAGUACUUGGAAGGCAGACCGCCUGGAAUACCGGGUGCCGUAGCUU
rnacentral:rRNA from 1 species